rnacentral:lncRNA from 1 species
ACAAAAAAUAUACAAAUGAAUUAUUACCAUAUAUAGGGAAAAAAAAAUCCUUAACUUUGUAGUCGGUGUUAUGCAAUCUGUUUAACCUGAAGGUUUUUAUGCUAGACUGAAAGAAAGAAAAAAACAAGCAAGACAAUAGAAAGGAAGUCAUCAAUAAAAACGAAAGCUUAACAUAAACUUAAAUCUGGUGGGUUUUCCUCGUAUUGCGCUCAUUUCCUGUUAUUAAGGAUUAAGGCAUAUUUAUAUUUUGUAAUAGGGGCGAGGUUCUUUUACAAAAAGAAAGAGCUAUCACGCCAAACUUUUGAAUUUUUCAAUUGGUACUUCUCAGGAGAGAAAAAAAACUUUUUGGUCCGUAAUCAGCGCUUUUUGUUAUUGGGACCGAGCCCUGUUCAGAUUAGCCGAAUAAUGCAGAAGCUUGUAGUACAAGGGGUCUGGUAGACAUACCGCAGCAUGUGGUUAAGAAAUAUUCGAAAAAAAUUUCUAUAGCAACACAAGAGUGAUAGUGUAGUUUCGUGUCAUUUUGGAAUCUGCCUGUCCUUGUCCGGUAAGUUUCGGUUUCUCACUCUCUUCAGUUUAUAAUGAUAAUUUUAGAUAAAAGCAGCUGAAGAAACGCGACUGACAGACCAAAGAAACGACAGGCUAACCAAAACGUUCAGAAAACGAACGUGAACGCGCUAGAAAUUGUCGAAAUUCUAUAGGUUCAUCACCACGCAGACUUCACAAUUGUUAUAUAAAAGUGUAAAAAUCGAGUUAGCAGUGGGCAAACCAAAAUAACUGGACAUUAAUACUACUUUUUAAAAAAAACAAAAUUUUCUAACGAAAAUAUUUCCUCUUCGCUACGAAACAUGGGAUUAGCGGUGAAUUAUACUUUACUUAUGUCCUACACAUUUUUUAAUUCAUUGUACGGUGGUAUUGAGAUUAAUCAGUUUGUUGUUUUUUACACGAAAAAAUAGUAUUCAUCACUUCUGAGCACUGACCAGUGAUUUUUUUUUUUUUUUUUUUUUUCAAAAGAGCGAAUCUGGGAUUUUACGAGUUUAAUUGUUAAUCAUUUUGACAAUUUCAUAUACUUCAUUGAAAAAUUAAGUACAAUAAAGUAUUAGAAAUACAAAUUGUAAAAAAAAUUAUCAUAACUAAAAGGGAUUAAGCAAAUAAAAAACAAAAAAUUUAAAACUAAAGUUCAAAAUACAUAUUAAACAAAGCAAACUUUUAAUUACCUAUAACACUCAUCACUCGUAAUUAGAUCUGUAGACCACACACAUUCUUUUGGAAGGUAUAAUAUUUGAUGACGCAUUCCAGAAAUCAGCAUUCUAUCAGGAGGGUGGUGCAAAGUAUCGGGUUGUAAAAUAAGUCUUCAAAUUAUCAUUAAUUCUAUUUUAUCCCUCUUGUGUUUUGAAGCAAUGUUUAAUUUGAUAUUAUUGUUUACAGACUCUGAAAAGGGAUUAGUUAAGGUGUUUUUAUUCAUCAGAUUCGUUCGAGAACUCUAAUGUUAACAAGGUGUUUUACUAAUUUCAAAUGGAGGAAAAAUAGUGCAUUUCCGUUUUUUAUUGCUGUUUGACUGCUAGGAAAAUGUGUAACGAUGAUUAGUUGUAAUCAUCAGUGUAUGGUGAUGAGUUCAUGACGGUUUAGGAGAAAGCAAGUAAGUGGUUAGCUCGGUUCAAAAACAGAAAUUUUGAUUUGGAAAACGCAAAGAGCACUGGUCGUCCUUCAAUCGGUGAUGAUGAUCAAAUUCAAGUUUUUGUUAGAAAUAACCCACAUAUCUUGUACAAGCGAUUCAACGCUUUUUUGACAAACUGGAUAUAUUUGUCAAAGAGAAGUCAGUUCUUCAUAUAUUGACUGAGACAAUUUUUUUUAGACAGCAUCUCCAUCUGCAAUUCCCUCCUCAAACGAAAUGUAAACGCCCCAUUUUGAAAAGACCGAUGACUGGCGAUGAAACGUUAAUCCAUUACAAUGUUCUGAAAAAAAUACUGGGGAAAACGCAGCGACCCACCGUUAACUACUCCAAAAGCCGGAUUACAUCAGAAUAAGGUGCAUGCAUUUUGGAAGAGGGUGUUUUAUUUUGAGCUUCUUCCCCCCAAACCAAAUUCUAGUGGUGUUAAUUCUAGUGUAUAAUGCACAUAAUCAUCCAUCAUUGGGAUUUGAAUUCCCUAGGGGAUUCCAAUGAGAUUUGUUUUGUGCCAGGAUAAUCUUUUCUUUUGUCUUUGUGACUUUGCAGACGUGCUAGAAAUUGUCGAAAUUUGGCUGGGAUGUGAUGAACCACUCAUUCGCCUUCAGAUUUUCAGUUAAUCCGGAAAACUUUACUUCACUUGAGGACUCCAGAAAAUACAUCGACGACAAAACCUAAGAAGUUCGGGGAGGCCUGAAUUACAAACUAACACGGAAGAUGGCAACAAGUACGGCCCAAAGUAACGGACGAUUGGAAAUGGAAUGAAGUUGUAAUAGACCGGAGGGAGAAUGAUUCGCCGGAAGAUAGUUUGGAUGAAGUUUUGGAUUUAGAUGUUUAGUUCAAUGCGUGAUUUUGUACACCACUACUCUGAGGAUAGGUGAGCACAGGUUUCGAUGAACUAUGACGGGAUUUGAUGAUAAUACGGCGAUCAUCAUCAAAUGAGAAUGGACAUCGACCGUCUGUAUAGAUCUUAUAUACACCCAGGACACUACCGCGUGGAACUUCUCCAUCGUCCCUGUGCAAAAGGAAAAGAGGAUCCAACUCGAACUUCAGCCCAAAGCUUAUUGUGGUAAUUACAGCCGCAUUAAAAAAGAAUUGGAAGCUUGUGUAACUAAAGGACACGACUGCCGGGAGUGCAAACCAGGCAAGAGAAAGAGGAACUCCCACUCAACAGAAAAGAAUAAAAUCUUCUUUAAAAAUAGGACUAUCGUCAGGUGACCUUUAUCGAUUAUGUCAAGAGAGACAUGAGACGACUGAACAUAUCCUAUGAAACUGCCCUAAAAUGGCUAGGAAAAGAGUAUGAAACAUGGGAAAUCGCGGUCAGACCUUGAUGCCACUCCCUGAGAAGAAUUCUUUACUUCAUAAAAGGGACGAAUACCUUCCAGGAUAUCCCUUAGACCAGAUCGGACACAAUUGAUCAAAGAUCGAAAUACAAGGCAGCCCAUAGCGCAGGGGAAUCGCAUUCGCUUUAAGACUAGAUCGAAAUACAUUGACAGGCAAAAAAACUCUACCUAAAUGAUUUUUUGGGUUUUUCUCGAUAAAAGAAAAUUCUGCCCUUAAUUUGUCUAAUUGCUUCGAGACGCCGUUAGAUGUUUUGGAGAAGCUGGGCCUUAGAAGACCCGGUUCUGGGCACCCUAGGGUAACAGAACCACAGGAUGACCGUUUUUUGACUCUGAGAAUUUUGCGAAACCGGCGCCUU